AUGGCCGAAUCUGUUGGUUUCGGUGCUCUGUUGCAGGGGAUGCUUGUGUUUCUGAUUGGUGAUGAUCCGGAGAGGAAGCCCUACAACAGGGCAUCCAGAUCUCUGCUCUCUGAUAUUGAGUAUGGCUGCUUGCCUAAAGAUAUAUUGCAUGGCAUCCCUUGCAAAUUCCAAAAUGGAAUUGUUGUUUGUGAGGUGCGGGACUACAGGUCCUUCCUGUCGAAUGGGGAUGAUUCUUCAGAAGACGACUUCCCCAUAAUGAACAGAAUUGCUCUUAGAUUGGGGACUGAAUGUGUUGUCAAUGAUCUAUCUUUGAUUGCGGAUGCUUCAUGGACUUAUCACGAGCAAUUGAUUGCUGAGUCGACCAUCAUUAAUUCCUUGCAACCCAGGCUUAAUUUGGACCCCAAGCCAUGCCUUGAAAAGCUAUGCAACUCUGUUAAGAAGAUUGAUUUAGGUCUACAUAAGGGAAGACGACGAAUGAAAGAGACGUCUCCUCUCAAUACUUCUCCUGGCCCUCCUGACAAAUGCAAGCCCAAGGAAUGCAACUCCUGUGAAGGUGCAGCAGUAUGCAUUGAGAAUUCAGCUCUAGAAGUGUUGCCAAGCGGAAUACUGAGCUGCUCGCCAGUGAAUUGUCCAUCACCUCCCCAAGUUAACACAGCAGUAUGCAUUGAGAAUUCAGCUCUAGAAGUCUUCCCAAGCGGAAUACUGAGCUGCUCGCCAGUGAAUUGUCCAUCACCUCCCCAAGUUAACACAGAAGUAUGCAUUGAGAAUUCAGCUCUAGAAGUCUUGCCAAGCGGAAUACUGAGCUGCUCGCCAGUGAACUGUCCAUCACCUCCCCAAGUUAACAGUGCCAAAUCAACUGUAGUGUCUGAUCCCGAAGAUACUACGCAAUGCUCUUCUACCAUUAUCAACAGCUCUGCUUUCUGUGAUAGGGAACAAAGUGCAUCAAGUACUCCUGCUUCUGAUAAUUUUCUUCAGAAUCAUGAUCAGCAGGCGGACUUAGCUAUCGUGAAGGUUGAUCAUAAAAAGGGGCCAUUGCUAACAGAGACAGUUCUACCACAAAAGAGAAAGGAGUGCUCGAAUCUUCUACAUCAAAGGCUGUUUUCAGUGAAAAGUCCAAGGUUGAGUUCCCAAAGUUCCGAUGACCAGUUUCAAAAGUCAGCGGGGGCUUCAAAUAAAGAAGGUCUUAUGCUAGGAUCUCCAAAAGAACCGUCGGUUGAGGACAAGGUAGAUCAGGCAAUAGGCAACAAGGACAUGGAAGUACAUCAACAGAAGUCCUUCUCAACUCCUUCCUUGAACAUAAUAAAGGAUCCAUGUUCAGAAAAAUUCGCCGAAAAGGUUAAGCAGGGAUCUCGGAAAGAACUGCCAGUUGAGGUUAUGGUAGAUCAGACCAUGGGCAAAAAGGACGUAAGAUUACAGGAACAGAAGUCCUUCUCAGUUGUCCCAACAACUCACCCACUUCCUUCCUUCAACAUAAAUGAUCCAUGUUUAGAACAGUUCCCUGAAAAGGUUAAGCUGGGAUCUCCAAAAGAGCUGCCGGUUGAGGUCAAGUUAGAACAGCCAAUUGGCAGAGGAAAGGAAAAUGAGCCCCUGUCAAUACUCCCGACCACUCUUCCACAGUAUUCCUUGAACAGAAACAGUCUGCAUAUAGAAAAAAUCCCUGAAAAGGUUCACUCUUCCGAUACAAGGAUGAGAGAAAGUCAUCUGGUCUCAUGUGUAGAUGUGGACAAUCACGGAGGAGAGCUCAAAGACAGUUCAGUGACCUCUGUAACCUCCUGCAAUGCAAGUUCAAGAAAUGCAGACGACAAACCUCACGAGGAUAAAGCUUCUACGGAGCCCCAACCUAUUACUUCAAACAUAAAAGUAUCAGGAACUUCUACCAUUUCUCUGAACGAGCAAGUCAAUUUUGAAGGGAACGGGCAGAAACAAGCUGAUAUUCUGGUCAGGCGUUCGUUUGAGGACAGAAGCUCAAAAGAGCCAGGUGUUACUGAUGGUACUAGUAGUCAAUUUGGUAUUUCUCCAGAUAUUGAGGUGUGCAUUGGACACCCUUUAUAUAACAUUGAACCUAACAUAGAAAGGAUUCUAUCAGAGGUUAUCCUGACCACCCAGAGGCAUGCACCAGAUGGGAAUGCUGCUAAAAUUGAUGGUCUUGAAACAUUGACGCCAGUGAAUUCCUGCUCACCAUCUUGUUUCAUUCGGUAUGAGGGUGCUGAGGGAAGUCCAUACAUGCGGGAAGAGACCAUUUCAUGCUGUCUAUCUAGGAGAACGAAACAUACUCGAAAUAUUAGAAGCUUUGUUUUUCACCGUGUACAGUAUUUCUGUAGAGGUAUAGUUGAUCAAUCUCAUUACAUACUUUGCCUUCUUGAGUCUGAAUCACCGGAUGACCAUCAAAUAGCUGUUGAAAUGAUAUCAGGAGAUGAGCGUUUUCACAUCGCUACUCUUCCCACUUCUGAUCAAGCAAAGAAGUUUGUGGAUCAAUUCAUUCUUCUGAUGAAACGCGAUGGCUACACACUAUGCAAUUCUACGGUCUGUAAUGGAUUCUCUGAACUCACACAGCAAUCCACAGAUGUAUCUCAGCCCGGCUAUCUGACUGGAGAACAUCCACAGUACCAGGGGUUCUCGCCUUCUGUUGCGAAAAGCGUUGUGAUUAAUGAAUGUAAGGAUGCAGGUUUUGCAUCGGAGAAGAGGCUCCCAGAUGUACAUGCCAAUGCUCGGCAGCAAGGGAGCCAGCAGUGGGGACUGCCAGAUGUACAUGCCAAUGUUCUGUAUCAAGGGAGUCGGCAGUGGGGCCUGACAGACGGGCAUGCAAAUGCCCAGCACGAAGGGAGUCAGCAGUGGGGGAUGCCAGAUGCACACAGAAAUGCCAUGCAGCAAGGGAGUACUCGGCAGCGGGGGCAGUCAUAUGCGCACACAAAUGUUCCACAGCAAGGUGGUAACCAGCAAUGGGGGCAACCAUAUGCACGCAGAAAUGUUCCGCAGCACAGGAGUAACCAGCAGUGGGGGCAACCAUAUGCACAUGCAAGUGUUCCGCAGCAAGGGAGUUACCAGCAGUGGGGGCAGCCAUACGCACACGCAAAUGUUCAGCAGCAAGGGGGUAAUCAGCAGUGGGGGCAAACACAUGCACACGGAAAUGUUGGGCGCCAAGGGAGCCAGAAGCAAUGGGGGCAAGCAUAUGCGCACACAAAAGUUCGGCGCCAAGGGAGCCAGCAGCAAUGGCGGAUGUCAGAUGCUCAUGCAAAUCCUCUGCGUCAAGGGAAACAGAAAUGGUGGCUGCCAGAUGAUCAUCAUAGUUCAAAGGCUAUGCACCAAGGGAGCCAGCAGCAAUGGGUACAGCCAGAGCAGCAACACCCAACGCCGGCAAACGUCGACGCAUCCCACUUCUCGAACCCCGGUUACCCAGUUGAGCAGCAGUACAACAGCAGAGUCUUCCAGGACCAGAGGCGGGCACCAUUCUCAGGCGGGGCGUGCUCAACGGAUCAGCACCAGCACCACUACUACCCCCAAAGCAGACAGGAUACACUAGGAGGGUCCGGCGAGAGACACACUAUGACCACAAGUAUGGGUGCAUGCAGCUAUGGCCAGUGGCACCAGACUCCGACUCCACCCCCGCAGCAGCACGACGGCAGGACGUACCGGUGGGGUUUCCAGGAUUUCGGCAGGCAGGUGCAGAUCAACAACCUGCCUCCAAUGCAGGCCGGGAGGAGCGUGCUGCUGUCGGGGCUGCACCCAACUGGAAGCCCGCAGACGACCUCUCCGACCACCGGCUCCGAUGGCAGCGUCACAAGCACGUUCCUGGUCCCUCCCAGCAGCUACCACCAGUGCCCGCCGCCGCCGCCGCAUGGGAUAUGCUGA
rnacentral:rRNA from 1 species